GACGAACGCUGGCGGCGUGCUUAACACAUGCAAGUCGAACGCUGAAGACCUGGCUUUUGUUGGGUUGGAUGAGUGGCGAACGGGUGAGUAACACGUGAGUAACCUGCCCUCUUCUUUGGGAUAACGCCCGGAAACGGGUGCUAAUACUGGAUAUUCACUGAUCUUCGCAUGGGGGUUGGUGGAAAGGUUUGUUCUGGUGGGGGAUGGGCUCGCGGCCUAUCAGCUUGUUGGUGGGGUGAUGGCCUACCAAGGCUUUGACGGGUAGCCGGCCUGAGAGGGUGACCGGUCACAUUGGGACUGAGAUACGGCCCAGACUCCUACGGGAGGCAGCAGCGGGGAAUAUUGCACAAUGGGCGAAAGCCUGAUGCAGCGACGCCGCGUGAGGGAUGGAGGCCUUCGGGUUGUAAACCUCUUUCGCUCAUGGUCAAGCCGCAACUGUGGGUUGUGGUGAGGGUAGUGGGUAAAGAAGCGCCGGCUAACUACGUG
rnacentral:rRNA from 1 species